rnacentral:rRNA from 1 species
GACAGAGGUGCCAAGCGUUAGGCGGAAUCACUGGGCUUAAAGCGUGUGUAGGCGGAUUGGUAAGUACCUUGUGAAAUCCCACGGCUCAACCGUGGAACUGCUUGGUAUACUGCUUAUCUUGGGCCACUUAGGGGCUACCGGAACAAACGGUGGAGCGGUGAAAUGCGUAGAUAUCGUUUGGAACGCCAAUGGUGAAAACAGGUAGCUGGGAGUGUGCCGACGCUGAGACACGAAAGCCAGGGGAGCGAACGGG